rnacentral:tRNA from 1 species
AUUUUAAUAGUUUAUAAAAAAAUGUUGAUUUUGUAAUUCAAUGAAAUCUAGUUAGGUUUAAAAUA